rnacentral:rRNA from 1 species
UACGUAGGAGGCGAGCGUUGUCCGGAAUUACUGGGUGUAAAGCGCGUGUAGGCGGCUCGUUAAGUCUGUUGUGAAAGCGCCCGGCUCAACCGGGCAGAGUCAAUGGAAACUGGCGGGCUGGAGGUCGGUAGAGGCGAGUGGAAUUCCCGGUGUAGCGGUGAAAUGCGCAGAUAUCGGGAGGAACACCAAUUGCGAAGGCAGCUCGCUGGGACGUUACUGACGCUGAGACGCGAAAGCGUGGGGAGCAAACGGG